rnacentral:rRNA from 1 species
CCUACGGGAGGCAGCAGCGGGGAAUAUUGGACAAUGGGCGCAAGCCUGAUCCAGCAAUGCCGCGUGUGUGAAGAAGGCCUUCGGGUUGUAAAGCACUUUUAUCAGGAGCGAAAUGCCAUGGGCUAAUACCCUAUGGAGCUGACCGUACCUGAGGAAUAAGCCCCGG